GACGAACGCUGGCGGCGUGCUUAACACAUGCAAGUCGAACGAAGAGCGAUGGAAGCUUGCUUCUAUCAAUCUUAGUGGCGAACGGGUGAGUAACGCGUAAUCAACCUGCCCUUCAGAGGGGGACAACAGUUGGAAACGACUGCUAAUACUGCAUACGAUCUAAUCUCGGCAUCGAGGAAAGAUGAAAGGUGGCCUCUAUUUAUAAGCUAUCACUGAAGGAGGGGAUUGCGUCUGAUUAGCUAGUUGGAGGGGUAACGGCCCACCAAGGCGAUGAUCAGUAGCCGGUCUGAGAGGAUGAACGGCCACAUUGGGACUGAGACACGGCCCAGACUCCUACGGGAGGCAGCAGUGGGGAAUCUUCCGCAAUGGACGAAAGUCUGACGGAGCAACGCCGCGUGAGUGAUGACGGCCUUCGGGUUGUAAAGCUCUGUUAAUCGGGACGAAAGGCCUUCUUGCGAACAGUUAGAAGGAUUGACGGUACCGGAAUAGAAAGCCACGGCUAACUACGUG
rnacentral:rRNA from 1 species